UUUGUACCCUGGUAGUCCACGCCCUAAACGAUGUCAACUAGUUGUUGGGGAUUCAUUUCCUUAGUAACGAAGCUAACGCGUGAAGUUGACCGCCUGGGGAGUACGGUCGCAAGAUUAAAACUCAAAGGAAUUGACGGGGACCCGCACAAGCGGUGGAUGAUGUGGAUUAAUUCGAUGCAACGCGAAAAACCUUACCUACCCUUGACAUGUACGGAAUCCUGCUGAGAGGUGGGAGUGCUCGAAAGAGAACCGUAACACAGGUGCUGCAUGGCUGUCGUCAGCUCGUGUCGUGAGAUGUUGGGUUAAGUCCCGCAACGAGCGCAACCCU
rnacentral:rRNA from 1 species